CUCUUGGGUCUCAGAGCCUGUUUCCUGACCAGCAGCAGUUACAGCUCUAACUAAAGAAGAACACUUGGGACCAGAGGCUGGGCUUGAAGGCAGGUUCCCCCUGAGACACAGACAUUUAUCCAGGUGGCUCUUUGGCCCUUCAGCUACACUAGUGAAUUUUCAACUCUCAGUCUUUCUGUCACCAUUGGAUGCCUACGUUGGGAUUUGAAGUUCAAUCUCAGAACUGUUUCCCUUGCUGUAUACUGAGGAGGAUGUUGUCACACAGGAUAUGCUAGCUGAGUUGAGAAUCAGAGUAUUCAUCUUAGUCUGGGUACCGGGUCAGCGAGAAAAGCCGGCCAACAACAACAACAAAGCAGGAGCUUCAGAGAAACCUCUGUAUCUUCAUAGAGCUGUAAAUCUCACACUGCCUGAACCCCAUGGCCCGGCUAUGCUUCUAACACAGCACAGGGGAAGGAGCAAGUCAAACAGGACUCGGUGAAUCCAUUCCAGGGCUCCAAAGGGAUGAUUUGGAACUCCCCCGAUUUCCUGGCUCUUUAUUCUGAAUCGAGGAAGAGGGUAAAGGUGAAGGACACAGAAAAGAGUGAUGAGGCUGAGAGCCAUCUGCCACGGUUGGGAAAGGCACUGAGACUGUUCCUGCAAAUUCAGGUACAUUUUUCUGGCAUCCCCAACAGGAAGGUUGGAAUAUGCCUGGGCAUCUUGGCAAGGGUCACGCUCUUUACUUUUCUCUGUACAGUCAAUUUUAAAGCAUCCAUCUAGAAGAAGAUCAGAAAGAUUGGAAAAUCCAGAUGACCAGGACAUCUGAGAUUGUGUCUUCUGUAUGUGACACAAAAGUUGCAUCCAUUAAAUCUCAACAAUACAGUUGCCUAAACAACCUGAAUAAUGACAAUACCGUGGAUUGGACAAAUCUCAGAAGGCCCUACCUUUAGAUGAAGAUCUACAAGCAAUUAAUGACAGCUAAGAGAGAAUGGAAUAAUCUGUCCCAGGGAUGAGUCCCCUAAUCAGUUACCAACACAAAAUAACCAUCCCUAAAAUCAUAUGCACUUGAGCAACACUAAAUGGACUCAGUGGGUUGCAUUUAUAUAUAUUAGUUUGUUCAUAUAUGUAUAACAAUAAUAAAGAAAAGAGUAUGAAUUUGAGAGAGAGUAGGGGGUGUGGGAAGAAGUGGAAGAAGGGGGUCAGGGAAACGGUGUAAAUAUAGUGCACACAUAUAAAAUCUUUUAAGAUGAGACACACAAAAAAUACCCAUCUGAUCUUAAUUUCUUUCUCCCAGGUGUAUUCUCUCCUGGUGUGCAUUUCUUAGGAGAUGCAGCUGGAGAGAGAGGAUGAAUCUCAAUGUGCAAAUUCUGAGAAUGGGGUCCCAUGCUCCAACUUAUAGGUGUAUAUGUGCUGGAAGGAGAGUUCUCUUCACCAUGCUUUAGGGACUUAUCAGGAUGGUAGAGUACGGCCUUAGACAAAGAGACACUUUGACCCUCUCAAUAGGUUCCCCAGUUCCUUCUUUAGGAAACAUUGGCAUGGUUACCCUUCCCCACUGGGCUUCUGUGUUUUCUGCA